rnacentral:rRNA from 1 species
CUAUAAUUGUCAGCUAAGUGGCGCACGGGUGAGUAAUAUAUAGGGUAACGUGCCCUAGAGAAGAGGAUAACAAUUGGAAACGAUUGCUAAGACUCUAUAUGCCUUUAAGACUUAAGUCUGCAAGGGAAAUAUUUAUAGCUCUAGGAUCGGCCUGUACGGUAUCAGUUAGUUGGUGAGGUAAUGGCUCACCAAGACUAUGACACCUAACUGGUUUGAGAGGAUGAUCAGUCACACUGGAACUGAGACACGGUCCAGACUCC